rnacentral:lncRNA from 1 species
GCAUUCUCCUGAACUAGGGGCACACUUUCUCCUCUCUAAUCCAUUUUGUCCCUUAAGAGAGUAAAUACAAAUUGAAGGAUUCUACUCCAAGGAGUCCCCACCAAGCCUGCUUCUGGACAUUCCAGAACCAACAAAUGAAAUGUUUCUUUCCUUUCAGGACACCCUGCCUUGGUUGCUGUAUUAAUUCACUACGGGGUUGGGUUGAAUAGGUCGCUUUAUUCAGGCAUGACUCCUCACGGGUCUCUGCUGUUGCUGCUAUUGCAUCUGGUAGUGAAAGAGAUCAUUGAUGGCUCUCCUCAGCCUUGUGACAUGGUCUGCUCUGUCUCUGACAAUCAUUUGUAUCAUGUCAGGAAAGAAUAAACAAAGAGAGAGGAGAAACAGAGGCAUCCUUUGUUCAUAGUCACAUGAUAGCUGAGUGGCCUAAAAAUGAGUUGUAGAAAGUCAGAGGCCACCAAGCGCUAUUCCUCUCUCAUCACUCCAAAACCUCCGGGGAAGAGAGAGUGAGGGAUGAUCCUUUUCUCCUUUUGUGUGAGCAUUCAUUUCUGCCUCCGGAGAUAACUAAAGAAUUCCUUUGCUACUCAGUCAGCGAAGAAGAAAUAAUCAGAAUGGUUUUGUGUGUUCUCCAAUGGAGGCUCCAGCUUCUUUUUGCUCAAGCCCAGAAGCAAGCUCGCCAAAUUUCUACAUAUUGGCUUCAGGCCAAGCAGUUUCAACGAUCCUGCCUGUCUUCCUUCCUCCCUCCAAGCGACCACAUCAAUGUCCAGUGCCCCAAAUCCCAAAAUACUCUCCAAACUCAAUGUGAAGCUUCCACUUGGCAGCCAGCUGAGCUCACAGGGAAUGCAAAUGACCUUCUAAUGCCUGGGAUCCAAGAAUGGAGAAACUCGGGGCUCUCACUAGCCCAUCUUGAUGCAUUAGAAAUUUUCUUACAAAAGAAAGAAGGGUCUCUAGAGUUUACUUGA